AUCCAGAUGACGAGUCCCAAAUACGACGAGAUGUGCGUCCUGGAU
rnacentral:hammerhead_ribozyme from 1 species